AGGAACAAUAUUCAGGCUGAAUGCUUUAGUAAAUGAAGAGCUCCAUAUAGAACAGAAACACAUUACGGUUUCCUGGAAAAUGAUUACAAAGAGAACAAGUUUGGGAUUGCCUUGAGAAACAUCUUUACAGGGGCAUAUAAAGAUGAAUGUUCAGUUUCUUGACAAUCUGGGUUAAAAUAAAACACAGAUGUCAGUAGAAGAGGAAAGUUUUCUAAACCUGGUACUUCAAGAAGGCCCUAGGCCAGAGCAAUUUGUAAACAUGCACUAGAAGCCAAUAUUUUACUAGAAGCCAAUAUUUUAU